rnacentral:tRNA from 2 species
GCCCUCGUAGCUCAGAGGAUAGAGCACCGGUUUCCUAAACCGUAGGUCGGGUGUUCGAGUCACCCCGGGGGUA